rnacentral:rRNA from 1 species
GAUGAACGCUGGCGGCGUGCCUAAUACAUGCAAGUCGAGCGAACAGACGAGGAGCUUGCUCCUCUGACGUUAGCGGCGGACGGGUGAGUAACACGUGGAUAACCUACCUAUAAGACUGGGAUAACUUCGGGAAACCGGAGCUAAUACCGGAUAAUAUAUUGAACCGCAUGGUUCAAUAGUGAAAGACGGUUUUGCUGUCACUUAUAGAUGGAUCCGCGCCGCAUUAGCUAGUUGGUAAGGUAACGGCUUACCAAGGCUACGAUGCGUAGCCGACCUGAGAGGGUGAUCGGCCACACUGGAACUGAGACACGGUCCAGACGCCUACGGGAGGCAGCAGUAGGGAACCUUCCGCAAUGGGCGAAAGCCUUACGGAGCAACGCCACGUGAGUGAUGAAGGUCUUCGGAUCGUAAUACUCUGUUAUUAGGGAAGAACAAAUGUGUAAGUAACUAUGCACGUCUUGACGGUACCUAAUCAGAAAGCCACGGCUAACUACGUG